UUCUUCACUAAAAUUCGUUUUCUUCUUUACUCAAACUCAAAUGCACUCGCCAAUUGUCGUCUGCUAUGUUGUUUUUUUUUUUUUGUCCAAGUCUUGAAACUUGGACUGUCUUCGUCUUAUUCUAAGCUGCUGUUGUGUCUUCACAUCUCUUUAAAUAUCCAAAAAAUUUCACCCCUGGUAUGAUGACGGAGAUAAUUUCAAAAUCCCUCUGAAACGAGACUCUUGGCACCUUGACCAUCAAAUAUGGAUUUCAAAGAUUUCUAAAGAGCAAUUUCUCACAGAAAAAAUCAGAUGACAUCAUGGAUUUUGUUGCUAAUCAACACGGAUGCGGACAUCUGUUACUGGAAAACAUGACAAUGUCUAAAAACUGAGCCAACCAGGAAAUGUAUCGUAAUCAACUCCCAACAGCAGCAACAAGUCCCUCUACUUUACUCUUUACUUCCUCGACUUACUACCCUAUACUUGCUUUUUCUACGAACAUAAUCAAAACUUCUCAGUUUAGCACCAAAAGCUGAAAGAACCUGGUUCUUUCAAAAAAAAUUACUUGCCGAGAGGCUAUUGUCAUCAAUAAAAUUGUUAAAACUCA